rnacentral:rRNA from 1 species
AUGAGCACGCAGGACGGCGAGAUGUCGGCCGCCCUCCACCACCGCCCCCGCUCGCCGCUGGAAGACGAGGAUCUGCUCCCCGAGAUCCUCCUCCGCCUCCCGCCGCAGCCGUCCACCCUCCCCCGCGCCUCCGCCGUCUGCAAGCGCUGGCGCCGCCUCGUCUCCGACCGCGGCUUCCUCCGACGCUACCGCCGACACCACCGCCGCAGCCCUCCUCUCCUCGGUUUCUUCCGCAACGACCUGCGAGGCAUCUCCUACACGCCUGCCAUGGAGGCCCCCGAUCGUGUCCCCGCCGACCGCUUCUCCGCGCAUCUCGACGACGUCGGCUACCACUUCCGUCUCCUCAGCUGCCGCCACGGCCUUGUGCUCAUCUCCCACUCGUCGCGGAACCAGGUCCUGGUGUGGGACCCCGUCACCGGCAACCAGCACCGCAUUGCCGCUCCUCUGGGGUUCGACAUGAACAGUACCCCGAUGGACGGGGCGGUGCUUCGCGUUGCCGGCGACGCCCACCACUUCCAGGUGGUAUUGGUAAGCUACAAGCAGGAAGAUGAACAGGCGAUCGUCUCGAUUUACUUGUCGGAGACCGGUGGAUGGAGUGAUCUCAUCUCAACACCGGUUCCAGGCGAGGCCAUGGAUUAUGAAGGCAUGCCCGCUGUUCUGGUCGGGCAUUCCAUUUACUGGCUGCUCCAUGGGGAUGAUAUAAGUGUAAUUCUUGAAGUUGAUUUGCAUAGCCAGAUUCUAGCUGUGAUACAGGUGCCAACAAAUAUGUUUGCCAAAGGUCAGUACUUGAUGGUUAUGCGAGCAGAGGGUGGCGGUUUGGGCAUACUCUCCCUGUCAGAAUUCACGGCCGAGUUAUGGAAGAGGAAUACCGACGGUGAUGGUGUUGCUUCAUGGGUGCUGGGACAAACUAUUGAACUGGACAAGCUACUUCCCCUGUCUUCAGAUAAGAGAAGCCACAUAUCGAUGCUAGCGUACGCUGAGGAAAAUAAUGUGGCUUUCUUGCGUACAGUUGCCGGUAUCUUCAUGGUCCAGCUUGAGUCAUUGCAGUUCAGUAAACUUCCUGAAAACAACAACGCUGUUGUCUGUUAUCCAUUUGAAAGUGUCUAUGCUGCAGAAGCAGGCAUUGGUGGUGCCAUGGAGCUAGUAUGA